rnacentral:rRNA from 1 species
AGUAACGCGUGGGCAACCUGCCCUAUACAGGGGGAUAACAGCUGGAAACAGCUGCUAAUACCGCAUAAGCGCACAGUGCUGCAUGGUACAGUGUGAAAAACUGAGGUGGUAUAAGAUGGGCCCGCGUCUGAUUUGCUGGUUGGGAGGGUAACGGCCUACCAAGGCGACGAUCAGUAGCCGGCCUGAGAGGGCGGACGGCCACAUUGGGACUGAGACACGGCCCAGACUCCUACGGAAGGCAGCAG